UCCAAUAUGGUAUAGAGUCAGUUUCUUUUUCUCUCUCCUCCCUUCCCCAACAGCCGCCGCCACCUUCCUCUUCUCCCUCCCUUCACAGCCGCCACCGGCCAACUCCUGACUGCGCCGGCCGCCUCCCUCUGCUCCCACCGGGCCGCGCCCCUGCGCCGUCUCCUCCACCCGUCGGAGCCGCCCGUGCCGUUGGAACCCCUCCCUUCGCGCUAGCGCCGCCAAAUCCGUCUCCUCCACCCGUUGGAACCGCGUGCCCCCAUCCUGUCGCGCCCGCGCCGCUGGACAUCCCUCCCGUUGCGCCCACGCUGGCGGCCCUUCUCCAUCGCGCGCGCCCUCGGCGGCCAUGGAUCACCUCCACGCCGCCCUGCAGGACGCUGGCGCCCACACCGGCGCCGACGUGCCUGCCCUUACCACGGAGUUGGCCACCCACGCCAGCGCAGCCAUGCCUCUGGCCCCUGCUGGCGUAGCCGCGCGCCUGAAGAACUCCUUUUGAGAUUCAAUUCUUGCCUAUGAAGCCAUUUCAGAAGUCAGGCUGGGGUCCUCCUCAGCCUCCAGAUGUUCUUGCCUUAGAGAGUUGGGCACUAGCGGAGCAUGAGCCACUGCUACAACGACUUCACCUUCCCUUAAGUUGUUCGGUGGCAGUGCAUGGUUAAGAUCAUGCUCACUUGGAGUACCCCGCGCUGCAUGGCCAAGCUCAUCUUCAACAGUUGCAUCAACACCCAAAGAAAGGUCAUCAUGUGAAGUAUCUUGCUGCUGAUGACAUCUUAAACUUCUUCUGGAGUAAACUUUUAGAGAUGGUGUCUCAGGAGGUGGCCUGACAGUCAUGGAGGAGCCCUCGUCAUGAGCGGGUAAGUAUUGGCAUCUUUCUCUGGCAUCCCAGAGCUGGGUCGAAGUAAGACAGGAGCCAAAUCAGCCCUUGAGGUGUCCUUAUGGGGCGAGCGUAACCCAGCCAUCUCCAGCGACCUAUCAAACAUAUACUGCUGGGGCGAAGGCGGUCUAGGUGAGCCCAAUGGCCCAAUAGACCGCGGGUCUUCAACUAAGUUGUCCUAAUGGGGUGAGCUCAGCCUAGCCAUCUCCAGCGGCCCAUCAAAAGAUAUGAGCUGAGGUGAAGGUGGUCUGGUUGAGCCUAGCGGCCCAAAAUGUCUCGGAUCUUCGAUCAGGGUGUCCUGAUGGGGCGAGCUUAGCUUAGCCAUCUCCAACGGCCCAGCAAAAGAAACAUGCUGGGGCAAAGGUGGCCUGGUUGAGCCCAGCGUCCCAUUCUGCAGUGCAGAGGUUUUCGAGUCAGGUUGGCCUGAUGGCACGAGCUCGCCAUAGUCCCCUCCAGGCUCCAGCGGCCCAGCAAAUAAGCUAUGCUGGGGCGAAGCAUGUCUCCUUGUCUUCUAAAGCUUGUGGUGGCGUCAACCCCACAUCCCUAGUCGCAUUCAUGACACGCUCGUGGCCUGAAGGCUGUUGCCGUCCCAGUCGAUGCUGGAUAGGCUACCGAGAAUCCUCGGUCAUGUCCGGACGUCGAGGAUGGAAGUCCUAGUUACCGACUUACCGCGGUCCUCUCCUUCAUCAGGCCUCUUGCUAGUCGCCAAGGAGGGGAGAGGUGGAGCAUCUAAGACUGUUGAGUGUAAAUUCAUUGGAGUUGCUCUAAUGGAGAUCUUAUAUGUCAAACAUCUCUUCUCAUGAGUGGCUAACCCCGAUUCAAUGGUAUGCAUCUCCAUGUCAUGAUGUAGUCUUUCUAGAUCAAAGCUCCACGCUCACACCAAAAAGGACAAAAGAACUCUCUUUUCAACUGUAUCUUGGUGUAAUUGUGUAA